CUGAGGACUCAUGCCUGUGGUCAAAUUGUGACUUCUGUCUUGGGUUCUCUCUUAUAAGGCAACCCAUGGAGAGACCAUAUGGGUGAUUUUCCAUUCCUGGUGAAGUGGCCGCAGUGAGGGUCACCGGGACUAUCCCUCAGGCAUCAGGAAAAAUACAGACCCAAACAGAAGCAGUGUCUGCCCACGGGCCAGCAAGUGCCGAAAUAUCACGGGUCCUGUUCUGAUGAGGGGAUCUCCUCCCUUAGGUUAGCAGCUCUGAUGAUCUGAUUUCGUCAACCCAAAGCUGAAGUUGUUGAUUGAGCUCUCAGCGUUGACAUGAGGAGUCCAUGAAACAAUCUACAGGAAGGCACCCCAAACGAAGCCUGGCUGGGAGUAGACAUUCAAUAGGGCAUGGCACCCUGCCUUCCAGAGACAAGGUUCCCAACAACUGUGCUGAAUGAAUGGAGGAAAAAUGAACCCAAACCAGGAAUACAAAUCCUUGUGUGUGAACAUAAACCUACUUCCAAAAUUCUUGAGGAAUCCCUAACUCAAGUCCCCCAAGUCCUGUUUGGUUGUGCACAGAAAGAGAUAUUACAAGAGGAGCCGUGGGAACCUGAAAAAAUGAAUGGGGAGUGGCAGUCCCUUCUUAUUAAUGU
rnacentral:lncRNA from 1 species